rnacentral:tRNA from 1 species
CGGGGCGUAGCGAAGCCUGGUUAUCGCGCCUGGCUGGGGGCCAGGAGAUCCCCAGUUCGAAUCUGGGCGCCCCGA